rnacentral:rRNA from 1 species
CCUACGGGGUGCUGCAGUGGGGAAUAUUGGACAAUGGGCGAAAGCCUGAUCCAGCCAUGCCGCGUGUGUGAAGAAGGCCUUCGGGUUGUAAAGCACUUUCAGUGGGGAAGAAAGCCUUGGGGCUAAUACCCUCGAGGAAGGACAUCACCCACAGAAGAAGCACCGGCUAACUCCGUGCCAGCAGCCGCGGUAAUACGGAGGGUGCGAGCGUUAAUCGGAAUUACUGGGCGUAAAGCGCGCGUAGGCGGUCUGAUAAGCCGGUUGUGAAAGCCCCGGGCUCAACCUGGGAACGGCAUCCGGAACUGUCAGGCUAGAGUGCAGGAGAGGAAGGUAGAAUUCCCGGUGUAGCGGUGAAAGGCGUAGAGAUCGGGAGGAAUACCAGUGGCGAAGGCGGCCUUCUGGACUGACACUGACGCUGAGGUGCGAAAGCGUGGGUAGCAAACAGGAUUAGAUACCCUGGUAGUC